rnacentral:rRNA from 1 species
UACGUAGGGCGCAAGCGUUGUCCGGAAUUAUUGGGCGUAAAGAGCUCGUAGGCGGCUUGUCACGUCGAUUGUGAAAACCCGAGGCUCAACCUCGGGCCUGCAGUGGGUACGGGCAGACUAGAGUGCGGUAGGGGAGAUUGGAAUUCCUGGUGUAGCGGUGGAAUGCGCAGAUAUCAGGAGGAACACCGAUGGCGAAGGCAGAAUCUCUGGGCCGUAACUGACGCUGAGGAGCGAAAGCGUGGGGAGCGAACAGG